GAAUUUAAGCAUAUAAGUAAGCGGAGGACAAGAAACUAAACAGGAUCCCCAUAGUAAUGGCGAAUGAACCGGGAUAAACUCAGCAUGGAAAUUGGGGCCUUUGGCUUUGACUUGUAAUCUGGUGAGGCAUUGCCAACAGAGGCGCAUAUGUAAGUCUCUUGGAAAAGAGCAUCAACGAAGGUGAGAGUCCUGAUUGUCAUGUGCAGCCCCCCUGUGCACGGUGUGCCUUCUAAGAGUCACGUUCCUUGGGAUUGGAGCGCAAAUUGGGUGGUAACUUUCAUCUGAAGUUAAACAAUGGUUUGGGACCGAUAGGAAACAAGUACCAUGAGGGAAAGGUGAAAAGGACUUUGGAAAGAGAGUUAAAAGUGCCUGAAAUUGCUGAAGGGGAAGCGAAUGGAACCAGUGGUGCUGGGUGAGAUUGUCACAUGCUGCAAGGAUUGGUUGCUGCCACAACGCAAGUGUGCUGGCAAUUUGUGAACUGCUAGUGUGUGGUGUGUCUUACCUAGUGGGUCAUUGUGGGUUUAUGCAUUAAGAUAAAUCAAAGCAAGCGGGAGCAAGUUUACGAGUUUGUGAAUGUGUGUUGUUAUGCUUGUGCGUAAGCUUUAGUGUUUGUCUGGCUGCAGGGCUGUCCAUCCUCAAGCUUUGCUGUGGUUGCGAUGAGCAUAACCUUCUGCACAGAUCUUGACGAAAUGGUUUCAUUCGACCCGUCUUGAAACACGGAACCAGGUU
rnacentral:rRNA from 1 species